rnacentral:rRNA from 1 species
GUGUCAGCAGCCGCGGUAAGACGGAGGAGGCAAGCGUUAUCCGGAAUUAUUGGGCGUAAAGGGUCCGCAGGUGGCAGUUCAAGUCUGCAGUCAAAGGUCGGGGCUCAACCCCGGAAAGGCUGUGGAAACUGAACAGCUAGAGUACGGUAGGGGCAGAGGUAAUUCCCAGUGUAGCGGUGAAAUGCGUAGAGAUUGGGAAGAACACCGGUGGCGAAAGCGCUCUGCUAGGCCGAAACUGAAACUCAGGGACGAAAGCUAGGGGAGCGAAUGGGAUUAGAUACCCCAGUAGUCCUAGCCGUAAACGAUGGAUACUAGGCGUGGCUCGUAUCGACCCGAGCCGUGCCGUAGCUAACGCGUUAAGUAUCCCGCCUGGGGAGUACGCACGCAAGUGUGAAACUCAAAUGAAUUAGCGGGG